rnacentral:rRNA from 1 species
AAGUCGUAACAAGGUUUCCGUAGGUGAACCUGCGGAAGGAUCAUUACAGAGUUCAUGCCCUCACGGGUAGAUCUCCCACCCUUGAAUACUAUACCUUUGUUGCUUUGGCAGGCCGCCUCGGCCCUGGGCUCACGCUCGGGAGUGCCUGCCAGAGGACCUAAACUCUUAAUAAACAUGUCGUCUGAGUACUAUAUAAUAGUUAAAACUUUCAACAACGGAUCUCUUGGUUCUGGCAUCGAUGAAGAACGCAGCGAAAUGCGAUAAGUAAUGUGAAUUGCAGAAUUCAGUGAAUCAUCGAAUCUUUGAACGCACAUUGCGCCCCUUGGUAUUCCGGGGGGCAUGCCUGUUCGAGCGUCAUCAAAAACCCUCAAGCCUAGCUUGGUGUUGGGGCCUGCCGUCUGGCAGCCCUUAAAAUCAGUGGCGGUGCCGGUCGGCUCUGAGCGUAGUAAUUCUUCUCGCUAUAGACGUCGGGCGGCCCUUGCCAAACAACCCCCAACUUUCUAAGUUUGACCUCGGAUCAGGUAGGGAUACCCGCUGAACUUAAGCAUAUCAAUAAGCGGAGGAAAAGAAACCAACAGGGAUUGCCUCAGUAACGGCGAGUGAAGCGGCACAAGCUCAAAUUUGAAAUCUGGCUCUUUCAGGGUCCGAGUUGUAAUUUGUAGAAGAUGCUUCGAGUGUGGUUCCGGUCUAAGUUCCUUGGAACAGGACGUCAUAGAGGGUGAGAAUCCCGUAUGUGACCGGUUGCCUUCGCUCAUGUGAAGCUCUUUCGACGAGUCGAGUUGUUUGGGAAUGCAGCUCAAAAUGGGUGGUAAAUUUCAUCUAAAGCUAAAUAUUGGCCAGAGACCGAUAGCGCACAAGUAGAGUGAUCGAAAGAUGAAAAGCACUUUGGAAAGAGAGUUAAACAGUACGUGAAAUUGUUGAAAGGGAAGCGCUUGCAACCAGACUUGCAGUUACUUAAUCAUCCGGGGUUCUCCCCGGUGCACUUGGGUAUCUUCAGGCCAGCAUCGGUUUCGGUGGUGGGAUAAAGACCUUGAGAACGUAGCUCCUUUCGGGGAGUGUUAUAGCUCUCGGUGUAAUGCCACCUAUCGGGACCGAGGACCGCGCUUCGGCUAGGAUGCUGGCGUAAUGGUUGUAAGCGACC